ACAUCAGGCUGAUGUAAGGAGAGAGUCAGAACUGACGCAGUCCAGGCCAGAAAAUCCCUCUGCAUGGGGUAGAAUGCACCGACCAAGGCUGUGGGCUGUGACCUCCAGUGUGACUCAGCUUGACCUCAUCUUUGCUGCCCAUGGGGGAUUCCUGCUCCUUAAAUGACAGGCGGCGAGUGGAUUGAAAUGGAGCAAGAAUCAGAGCAAAUGAUUCAGAUGAUGGCAAGGCUUGGCGCUCAUCACCAAACAUCAAUCAUGAAAAAUCUCCCUUUGUUAAUAUGCAAAACUCUGG